rnacentral:rRNA from 1 species
AAAAACAUUUCUUAUUAUAUUUUAUCAUAAGUAAAACCUGCUCAAUGAGAUUUCAAUAGCCGCAGAUCUUCUGUGCUAAGGUAGCAUAAUCAUUUGUUCUUUAAUUAAGAACUAGAAUGAAGGGUUUAACAUUUCAAUUUCUAUUUUAUUAAAAAUUACUUAACUUAUAUUAAAUGUAAAAAUUCAUUUAUAAAAAAAAAAGACGAUAAGACCCUGUCGAACUUAACUUUUGUUUUACUGGGGUAGUAGUUUAAUAAUAAUUUUAAAUAAAUUUUUAUAAAAAUAGAUCCAAUAAAAUUGACUAUUUGAACAAGUUACCGCAGGGAUAACAGCGUUAUUCUUAUUUAUAGAUCUUAUAAAAAUAAGAGAUUACGACCUCGAUGUUGAAUU